UGUCUUGUAAUUGGAAUGAUGGGAAUCUAAACCCUUCCCAGAGUAUCAAUUGGAGGGCAAGUCUGGUGCCAGCAGCCGCGGUAAUUCCAGCUCCAAUAGCGUAUAUUAAAGUUGUUGCAGUUAAGAAGCUCGUAGUUGAAUUUCUGCCUUGUCAUUAAUCUCGCUUCCGAGCGUUUUUUUAUUGACUUGGCAUCUUCUGGAUUUGGUGCCUUCGGGUACUAUUUUCCAGGAUUUACUUUGAGAAAACUAGAGUGUUUCAAACAGGCAUUCGCCUUGAAUACUACAGCAUGGAAUAAUGAAGUAGGACUUUGGUUCUAUUUUGUUGGUUAUUGAGCCAGAGUAAUGGUUAAUAGGAGCAGUUGGGGGCAUUCGUAUUUAACUGUCAGAGGUGAAAUUCUUAGAUUUGUUAAAGACGAACUACUGCGAAAGCAUUUGCCAAGGAUGUUUUCAUUAAUCAAGAACGAAAGUUAGGGGAUCGAAGACGAUCAGAUACCGUCGUAGUCCUAACCAUAAACUAA
rnacentral:rRNA from 1 species